ACGCUGGCGGCGUGCCUAAUACAUGCAAGUAGAACGCUGAAGGAGGAGCUUGCUUCUCUGGAUGAGUUGCGAACGGGUGAGUAACGCGUAGGUAACCUGCCUGGUAGCGGGGGAUAACUAUUGGAAACGAUAGCUAAUACCGCAUAAUAGUAGAUGUUGCAUGACAUUUGCUUACAAGGUGCAAUUGCAUCACUACCAGAUGGACCUGCGUUGUAUUAGCUAGUUGGUGGGGUAACGGCUCACCAAGGCGACGAUACAUAGCCGACCUGAGAGGGUGAUCGGCCACACUGGGACUGAGACACGGCCCAGACUCCUUCGGGAGGCAGCAGUAGGGAAUCUUCGGCAAUGGACGGAAGUCUGACCGAGCAACGCCGCGUGGGUGAAGAAGGUUUUCGGAUCGUAAAGCUCUGUUGUAAGAGAAGAACGAGUGUGAGGGUGGAAAGUUCACACUGUGACGGUAUCUUACCAGAAAGGGACGGCUAACUACGUGCCAGCAGCCGCGGUAAUACGUAUGUCCCGAGCGUUGUCCGGAUUUAUUGGGCGUAAAGCGAGCGCAGGCGGUUAGAUAAGUCUGAAGUUAAAGGCUGUGGCUUAACCAUAGUACGCUUUGGAAACUGUUUAACUUGAGUGCAAGAGGGGAGAGUGGAAUUCCAUGUGUAGCGGUGAAAUGCGUAGAUAUAUGGAGGAACACCGGUGGCGAAAGCGGCUCUCUGGCUUGUAACUGACGCUGAGGCUCGAAAGCGUGGGGAGCAAACAGGAUUAGAUACCCUGGUAGUCCACGCCGUAAACGAUGAGUGCUAGGUGUUAGACCCUUUCCGGGGUUUAGUGCCGCAGCUAACGCAUUAAGCACUCCGCCUGGGGAGUACGACCGCAAGGUUGAAACUCAAAGGAAUUGACGGGGGCCCGCACAAGCGGU
rnacentral:rRNA from 1 species